AAAGAGAUCCCAAACAGAUCCAUUUUCUAUUGCAACUAUAAUGGUAAAUAAAACAAAUGGGAACUCUUUGCUUGGCCAAUAUAAACGAUGGCAACCCAAAGCACAUUAUGAGCUUGAAUGCCAAUUCUGAUAGAGUUCUCUUCCAUUAUAAUGGACAUGGUGUGCCAAAACCAACUGCUAAUGGU